UACAGAGGGUGCAAGCGUUAAUCGGAAUUACUGGACGUAAAGCGUGCGUAGUCGGUUAUCUAAGUCGGGUGUGAAAUCCCCGGGCUCAACCUGGGAAUUGCAUUCGAUACUGGAUAGCUAGAGUUCGGCAGAGGGAAGCGGAAUUUCCGGUGUAGCGGUGAAAUGCGUAGAUAUCGGAAGGAACAUCAGUGGCGAAAGCGGCUUCCUGGACCAGAACUGACGAUCAGGCACGAAAGCGUGGGGAGCAAACAGG
rnacentral:rRNA from 1 species